rnacentral:lncRNA from 1 species
UGGGCUGUAACUGGGAGAUGUUGGGCUGUAACCAGGGGAGGUAGGACUGUAUGCAGGAGAAGUGGGACUAUAUGAUGGAGAAGUUGGACUAUAACUUGGUGAGGUGGGGCUAUAUGAAGGCGAGGUGGGGCUGUAAGAAGGUGAGGUGGGGCUGUAUGAAGGUGAAGUGGGGCUGUAAGAUGGAGAAGUGGGGCUGUAAGAUGGAGAAGUGGGGCUGUAGGCAGGCGAAGUGGGGCUGUAGGCAGGCGAAGUGGGACUGUAGGCAGGCGAAGUGGGGCUGUAGCUAGGCGAUGUUGGGCUAUAACUAGGAGAUGUAGGGCUAUAGCUCGGAGAUGUUGGACUAUAACUAGGUG